rnacentral:rRNA from 1 species
ACGAACGCUGGCGGCGUGCUUAACACCUGCAAGUCGAACGGAAAGGCCCCUUUGGGGGUCCUCGAGUGGCGAACGGGUGAGUAACACGUGAGUAACCUGCCCUUGACUUCGGGAUAACUUCAGGAAACUGGGGCUAAUACCGGAUAGGAAUCCUUGCUGCAUGGUGGGGGUUGGAAAGCUUCGGCGGUUUUGGAUGGACUCGCGGCUUAUCAGCUUGUUGGUGGGGUAGUGGCUUACCAAGGCUUUGACGGGUAGCCGGCCUGAGAGGGCGACCGGCCACAUUGGGACUGAGAUACGGCCCAGACUCCUACGGGAGGCAGCAGUGGGGAAUAUUGCACAAGGGGCGGAAGCCUGAUGCAGCAACGCCGCGUGCGGGAUGACGGCCUUCGGGUUGUAAACCGCUUUCAGCAGGGGCGAAGCUUGUGGUGACGGUACCUGCAGAAGAAGCACCGGCUAACUACGUG